rnacentral:lncRNA from 1 species
GUUCAACUUGAAUUGCAUCAAAUUGCAGACUAAUUUAUUUACCAGAGCGUUGUAAAGAAUACUAAAGCAAUCAGCUAUAAAUUAGUGGAUGCUAAAUUGUCAGUCUGAUAUCAAUACAGUCAGAUCAGCCAGUAGCUUGACACGGAGUUCAGUCAAAGAGAGCCUGGAAAAAAAUCUUUCAUCCCAGUGGGGAAGGGGAAGUCAGAAUGAAUGUGUGUACGCCCAAGGCUCCAUUCUCUGAUAAAACAGCAUCAG